UACGGAGGGGGCUAGCGUUGUUCGGAAUUACUGGGCGUAAAGCGCACGUAGGCGGACCAGCAAGUUAGGGGUGAAAUCCCGGGGCUCAACCCCGGAACUGCCUUUAAAACUGUUGGCCUGGAGGUCGAGAGAGGUGAGUGGAAUUCCGAGUGUAGAGGUGAAAUUCGUAGAUAUUCGGAAGAACACCAGUGGCGAAGGCGACUCACUGGACACGUAUUGACGCUGAGGUGCGAAAGCGUGGGGAGCAAACAGG
rnacentral:rRNA from 1 species